rnacentral:rRNA from 1 species
UCCUACGGGAGGCAGCAGCAGGGAAUCUUGCGCAAUGGGCGAAAGCCUGACGCAGCAACGCCGCGUGGGGGAUGAAGGCCUUCGGGUUGUAAACCCCUAACAGGAGGGAAGAAAUUGACGGUACCUCCAGAAGAAGCUCCGUCCAACUACGUGCCAGCAGCCGCGGUAAUACGUAGGGUGCAAGCGUUAUCCGGAAUCAUUGGGCGUA